rnacentral:rRNA from 1 species
AGUGAACGCUGGCGGCAGGCCUAACACAUGCAAGUCGAACGGCAGCACGGCAGUAGCAAUACUGUGGGUGGCGAGUGGCGGACGGGUGAGGAAUACAUGGGAAUCCACCCUGUCGUGGGGGAUAACGUAGGGAAACUUACGCUAAUACCGCAUACGACCGAGAGGUGAAAGCGGCGGACCGCAAGGCGUCGCGCGAUUGGAUGAGCCCAUGUCGGAUUAGCUAGUUGGGGGGGUAAAGGCCCACCAAGGCGACGAUCCGUAGCUGGUCUGAGAGGAUGAUCAGCCACACUGGAACUGAGACACGGUCCAGACUACUACGGGAGGCAGCAGUGGGGAAUAUUGGACAAUGGGCGCAAGCCUGAUCCAGCCAUGCCGCGUGAGUGAAGAAGGCCUUCGGGUUGUAAAGCUCUUUUGUCCGGAAAGAAAAGCUCUCGGUUAAUACCCGGGGGUGAUGACGGUACCGGAAGAAUAAGCACCGGCUAACUUCGUGCCAGCAGCCGCCGUAA